GACGAACGCUGGCGGCGUGCUUAACACAUGCAAGUCGAACGGAAAGGCCCGGCUUUUGCGGGUUGCUCGAGUGGCGAACGGGUGAGUAAAACGUGAGUAAAAUGCCCCUGUCUUUGGGAUAACUUCAGGGAACUGGGGCGCAUACCGCGUAGGAGCUCCUGCUGCAUGGUGGGGGAUGGAGAGAUUCGGCGGUUGGGGAUGGUCUCGCGGCUUAUCAGCUUGAUGGUGGGGUAGGUGAUUAACAAGGCUUUGACGGGUAGGCGGCCUGAGAGGGUGACCGGCCACAUUGGGACUGCGAUACGGCGCAGACGCCUACGGGAGGCAGCAGGGGGGAAUAUUGCACAAUGGGGGGAAGCCUGAUGCAGCAACGCCGCGUGCGGGAUGACGGCCUUCGGGUUGUAAACCGCUUUCGCAUGUGAUGAAGCGGUAGUGACGGUAAUGGGUAAAGAAGCACCGGCUAACUACGUG
rnacentral:rRNA from 1 species